GACGAACGCUGGCGGCGUGCUUAACACAUGCGAGUCGAACGGAAAGGCCCCUUUGGGGGUACUCGAGUGGCGAACGGGUGAGUAACACGUGAGUAACCUGCCCUUGACUUCGGGAUAACUUCAGGAAACUGGGGCUAAUACCGGAUAGGAAUCCUUGCUGCAUGGUGGGGGUUGGAAAGCUUCGGCGGUUUUGGAUGGACUCGCGGCUUAUCAGCUUGUUGGUGGGGUAGUGGCUUACCAAGGCUUUGACGGGUAGCCGGCCUGGGAGGGCGACCGGCCACAUUGGGACUGAGAUACGGCCCAGACUCCUACGGGAGGCAGCAGUGGGGAAUAUUGCACAAUGGGCGGAAGCCUGAUGCAGCAACGCCGCGUGCGGGAUGACGGCCUUCGGGUUGUAAACCGCUUUCAGCAGGGGCGAAGCUUGUGGUGACGGUACCUGCAGAAGAAGCACCGGCUAACUACGUG
rnacentral:rRNA from 1 species